rnacentral:rRNA from 1 species
GACGACGCUGGCGGCGUGGAUUAGGCAUGCAAGUCGAACGGUAUCAUCCUUUCGGGGGUGAGAGAGUGGCGAACUGGUGAGUAACACGUAGGUUAUCUACCUCAAGACGGGACAACCCAGGGAAACUUGGGCUAAUACCGGAUGUGAGCAACUUUUAGUUGUUUGAAAGGUGGCGUAAGCUGUCGCUUGGGGAUGAGCCUGCGUCCUAUUAGUUAGUUGGUGAGGUAACGGCUCACCUAGGCAAUGAUAGGUAGGCGGCCUUAACGGGUGGUCGCCCACACUGGGAUUGAGAUACGGCCCAGACUCCUACGGGAGGCAGCAGUCGAGAAUAGUCUACAAUGGUCGGAAGACUGAUAGUGCGACGCCGCGUGAACGAUGAAUCCCUUCGGGGUGUAAAGUUCUUUUAUAUGUGAGCAGUGCUUCUUAUAUUAACAGUAUGGGGAGAGAGACAUUAGCAUAUGAAUAAGCAACGGCUAACUCCGUG